UUUAUAUGUACAUUUUUUUCUAUUACUUCAGUAUGGACUUGAGGACAGAAGAGGAGAAGCACUCAUCAACUACGUCAAAGAAAAUGUGAUUGGAAACGACGUCAGUUUUGAAGGGCCCUUUGGAACCCGACCAGUCACGUACUGCGACUACACAGCCUCUGGCAAACCUCUGCGGUUUAUCGAAGAUUACAUCACAGACUAUGUCUAUCCGACCUACGGGAACACACACACCACCACCUCUAUCGUCUCCUUGCAAACUACCAAGUUUAGAAAUAGCGCAAGGGACAUCAUAAAGAAAUGUGUCAACGCCUCCGAGGAUGACGUGGUGAUAUUUGUUGGAAGCGGGACGACGGGCGCAGUACAUAAACUUCUUAAUGUCUUGGGGUUACAUUCACAAGACUUCGACGAGACAAA